AAAAGUUCCCUUAUCACACCCCACCUAUAUUAUUACAAUUAGUUUGCAUCAUGUAAUAUUGUCAUUUUUGUAGUUCAAAAAUGGGUAAAUAUUGAGAAUUUCAUAUGCUUCAAUCUAAUAGUUUACAUUUUGUAUUGAUUCACUUUUUAACUAACAUACUAUCUUUAAAAGUAAAAAAAAAAUCACUAACACAGAAAGAAAACUUGUACCACUUGUAAUAAAUAAAAUAUAACAAUACAAACAAAUGCAAUAAAAAACAACAGACACGGACAAUGUUAUUAAAUUCUAGAUAGAUACUGUUGCCUGCCAAAUGCUCAGAGCUGGGAAUCUGCACUUUCUUUAAGAGAAGAGAUUAACAAGUAAAACAAUACCUCGGACUUUCUCUUGAGAUCAGUAUUGAAAAAAAUUAAAGGCAAUAACUCUUUCAGUCUGUGAUUUAAUAUUAUUUAAUUAUAACACUAUGGAACCACGCAUCCUGCAUUUUGAUAAACAUUAUAUUAGAUCACUUAUUUUGCCCAGUUUUCCCUUUUGUGUUCAGAGGAUACUUCUAAGCACGCAAAUAAUGGCAAAGUUAUUUAUAUGUCACCAUCUAGGACUUAAUUGAUUUAAUAAAUUCUGUCACAUGACACAAAUAAUAUCUUGCAGAGAGUCCACAACAUUCUUAACAUCACUUAUCAGAGCAUGUUUUAAUUUAUUAUAGUUUUUUAUUUAUAUUCUCCUUCUCUUUUUUAGGUUCUGUGAAUCCAGGAUCUUCUCUCCUCCCUGGGUCAGUGGAAGAAGUGAAUGAAUAAGGAUCUCCCAGGCUGGAGUGCAGUGGCAGGAUCAUGACUCACUGCAGCAUUUACCUCCUUGGCUCAAGCUAUCUUCCCACAGUAACCUCGGAAGGAACUGGGAUUACAGGUGUUUGGCACCAGCUAUUGUUUUAGUAUUAUGUUUAUUUUUGGUACAAAAGAGGUCUUGCUAUCUUGUCCAGGCUGGUUUCGAACUCCUAGGCUCAAGUAAUCCUCCUGCCAGUCUCCCAAAAUGCUGAGAUUACAGGCAUGAGCCAACGUGCCUGGCCUAAAAUUCACUUUUGAUUUAAAAAAAAAAACAAAACCCGCAAAUAUCCACUCAAAAUAAAGUGUAGCAACAUUUAAGUAGUCUAUCCUAAACUAAUAACAACGAUGAUGUUUAAAGGCAAGUUACUGGAAAAAGUCAUGUCAAAGUCAGCACAGGGAAAUUUUGUUAUGAUUCUCCAUACUUUCCAAUAUAAUUAAGUUAAAAUUUUAAAACGUGUUAUAAAUAGUGAACAUUUAAACAAAACAUAAUUGUAAAUAUUAUAAAUGUACACCUCUCAAAAAAUCAAUGGAACAAUUAUUUGAAUUAAUAAAAGAAUUUAGAACACGAACAAUUAUGAGACAUUUGAAAGAAUAAGAGCCUUCUUGUAUACCAAUAUUAGCCAGGUAGAAAAUAUUUUCAAGACAAAAUACCCUAUUGAAUUAGUGACAGAAAUAUAAGCAACUAAAAUAAAUAUUAAAAGAGACAUAUUAUACCAUCAUGAGAAUGUUGACAGAAAAUCAAUGGAGGACAUGAAGAAGAUGGUGAUUAAAUUAAUAAAUAUAGAAUUCUAGAUUAACUUAUAUAUUU
rnacentral:lncRNA from 10 species